rnacentral:tRNA from 1 species
AAGAGAGGCAUGCAGCAACGAAAACUGCUAAUUUUCGUCCCCUUGGUUGGAAUCCAAGGCUCACUUG